rnacentral:rRNA from 1 species
CGCAAUGGGCGAAAGCCUGAUGGAGCAACGCCGCGUGCAGGAUGAAUGUCUUCGGAUUGUAAACUGCUUUUAUCUGUGACGAAUAUGACGGUAGCAGAUGAAUAAGGAUCGGCUAACUCCGUGCCAGCAGCCGCGGUCAUACGGAGGAUCCAAGCGUUAUCCGGAAUUACUGGGCGUAAAGAGUUGCGUAGGUGGCAUUGUAAGCGAGUAGUGAAAGCGUUCGGCUCAACCGGAUAAACAUUACUUGAACUGCAAAGCUAGAGGAUGAGAGAGGUUAUUGGAAUUCCUAGUGUAGGAGUGAAAUCCGUAGAUAUUAGGAGGAACACCGAUGGCGUAGGCAGAUAACUGGCUCAUUCCUGACACUAAGGCACGAAAGCGU